GACGAACGCUGGCGGCGUGCUUAACACAUGCAAGUCGAACGGAAAGGCCCUGCCUUUGUGCGGUCCUCGAGUGGCGACCGGGUGAGUAACACGUGAGUAACCUGCCCUUGACUUUGGGAUAACUUCAGGCAACUGGGGCUAAUCCCGGAUAGGAGUUCCUGCUGCAUGGUGGGCGUUGGAAAGUUUCGGCGGUUGGGGAUGGACUGGCGGCCUAUCAGCUUGUUGGGGGGGUAGUGGCUUACCAAGGCCUGGACAGGUAGCCGGCCUACUAGGAGGACCGGCCACAUUGGGACUGAAAUGCGGCACAGACUCCAACGGGAGGCAGCGGAGGGGAAUAUUGCACAAUGGGCGGAAGCCUGAUGUAGCAACGCCGCGUGCGGGAUGACGGCCUGCGGGUUGUAAACCGCUUUCGCCUUUGACGAGGCGUGAGUGACGGUAAUGGGUAAAGAAGCACCGGCUAACUACGUG
rnacentral:rRNA from 1 species